ACGAUGAACCACUUCGGUGGGGAUUAGUGGCGAACGGGUGAGUAACACGUGGGCAAUCUGCCCUGCACUCUGGGACAAGCCCUGGAAACGGGGUCUAAUACCGGAUAUUGACCUUCACGGGCAUCUGUGAGGUUCGAAAGCUCCGGCGGUGCAGGAUGAGCCCGCGGCCUAUCAGCUUGUUGGUGAGGUAAUGGCUCACCAAGGCGACGACGGGUAGCCGGCCUGAGAGGGCGACCGGCCACACUGGGACUGAGACACGGCCCAGACUCCUACGGGAGGCAGCAGUGGGGAAUAUUGCACAAUGGGCGAAAGCCUGAUGCAGCGACGCCGCGUGAGGGAUGACGGCCUUCGGGUUGUAAACCUCUUUCAGCAGGGAAGAAGCGAAAGUGACGGUACCUGCAGAAGAAGCGCCGGCUAACUACGUGCCAGCAGCCGCGGUAAUACGUAGGGCGCAAGCGUUGUCCGGAAUUAUUGGGCGUAAAGAGCUCGUAGGCGGCUUGUCACGUCGGUUGUGAAAGCCCGGGGCUUAACCCCGGGUCUGCAGUCGAUACGGGCAGGCUAGAGUUCGGUAGGGGAGAUCGGAAUUCCUGGUGUAGCGGUGAAAUGCGCAGAUAUCAGGAGGAACACCGGUGGCGAAGGCGGAUCUCUGGGCCGAUACUGACGCUGAGGAGCGAAAGCGUGGGGAGCGAACAGGAUUAGAUACCCUGGUAGUCCACGCCG
rnacentral:rRNA from 1 species